GACGAACGCUGGCGGCGUGCUUAACACAUGCAAGUCGAACGGAAAGGCCUGCUUUCCCUUGUGUAUUGCGGGGACUCGAGUGGCGAACGGGUGAGUAACACGUGAGUGAUCUUCCCCCAACUUGUGUAUAAGCCUGGGAAACUGGGUCUAAUUCCCGAUAGGACUGCAGGGUGGUGCGGGUGGUGGAAAACGAUGUGCUAGUGGUUGGGGAUGAGCUCGCGGCGUGUCGGCUUGUUGGUGGGGUACUGGCCUACCGAGGCGGGGACGGGGAGCGGGCCUGGGAGGGUGGACGGGCAAAUUGGGACUGGGACAAGGCGCCGACGGCAAGGGGCAGAAGGAGUGGGGAAUCAUGGACAGCGGGCGGAAGCCUGAUGCAGCGAGGCCGCGUGGGGGAUGACGGGUUUGGGGUUGUAACCUCCUUGGGACGGAGAGGAAGCGACCUGGUUGGAAGGGUGGUGACGGUAGUGGGAGAAGAAGCACCGGCUAACUACGUG
rnacentral:rRNA from 1 species